rnacentral:tRNA from 1 species
GCGGUCGUGGCGUAAUCGGCUAACGCGCCAGGCUUCCACCCUGGAAACGCGGGUUCAAUUCCCGCCGGCCGUU